rnacentral:rRNA from 1 species
UACGUAGGGGGCUAGCGUUGUCCGGAAUCAUUGGGCGUAAAGCGCGUGUAGGCGGUCCGGUAAGUCCGCUGUGAAAGUCGGGGGCUCAACCCUCGGAUGCCGGUGGAUACUGUCGGGCUUGAGUACGGAAGAGGCGAGUGGAAUUCCUGGUGUAGCGGUGAAAUGCGCAGAUAUCAGGAGGAACACCGGAUGGCGAAGGCAGCUCGCUGGGACGGUACUGACGCUGGAGGCGCGAAAGCGUGGGGAGCGAACAGG